AUCCAACUGAUGAGUCCCAAAUAGGACGAAAUACGCUUUCUGGAC
rnacentral:hammerhead_ribozyme from 1 species